CCUACGGGAGGCAGCAGUGAGGAAUAUUGGUCAAUGGCCGGGAGGCUGAACCAGCCAAGUCGCGUGAGGGAAGACGGCCCUACGGGUUGUAAACCUCUUUUGUCAGGGAGCAAGGUGCAGGUCGGGACCUGCUGUGAGAGUACCUGAAGAAAAAGCAUCGGCUAACCCCGUGCCAGCAGCCGCGGUAAUACGGAGGAUGCGAGCGUUAUCCGGAUUUAUUGGGUUUAAAGGGUGCGCAGGCGGAGGGACAAGUCAGCGGUAAAAUCGCGGGGCUCAACCCCGCUCCGCCGUUGAAACUGUGGCCCUUGAGUGCGCGAAGGGUAGGCGGAAUGCGUGGUGUAGCGGUGAAAUGCAUAGAUAUCACGCAGAACUCCGAUCGCGAAGGCAGCCUACCGGCGCGCAACUGACGCUCAUGCACGAAAGCGUGGGUAUCGAACAGGAUUAGAUACUCCAGUAGUC
rnacentral:rRNA from 1 species